rnacentral:rRNA from 1 species
CUAGCGACUUCAGAGUUUGAUCCUGGCUCAGGAUGAACGCUAGCUACAGGCUUAACACAUGCAAGUCGAGGGGCAGCACAGAGAUAGCUUGCUAUCUUGGGUGGCGACCGGCGCACGGGUGAGUAACGCGUAUCCAACCUGCCCAUUACUCGGGGAUAGCCUUGCGAAAGUAAGAUUAAUACCCGAUGUUGUUUGAUUGCCGCAUGACGAUCAAACCAAAGAUUUAUUGGUAAUGGAUGGGGAUGCGUGACAUUAGGUAGUUGGUGAGGUAACGGCUCACCAAGCCCACGAUGUCUAGGGGUUCUGAGAGGAAGGUCCCCCACACUGGAACUGAGACACGGUCCAG